rnacentral:lncRNA from 1 species
UUUUCCAAUCAUGCAUUUUUAGUCCCUAAAGAUUUUUGAGCUUCAUGACUCUUUGCGUUCGGAGAACGCAGAAUAACCAUUCGAUGCGCUGUCCCAGAGUUCGGAGAAAGCAGAGUAUACGAAAACAGAGUCUUCACUUGCAGUCCCAGAAUUAACUUCGCUAAAGAAACUCCCCAACUUCUCCACAUCAAAUUCAGUAGCAUGUGAAGUAAGCAAUUCAAUUUGAGCUUCAUGACUCUUUGCGUUCUCAUCAAAUAGACAAAUACCUUUGCCUCGUGCUCUUUAGUUUCCUCUCUUAACCAGAAAAAAGAAGGAAGUCUUUACCUUUUGAAGACAUGCCUCAAAAAUACAUAAAUAAACACUUAGCCCCCUUAAGUUUUCCAUCCACUCCUCCUUUAAACGUCCCAAUCACAACCUUGUAAAGUCACCAAACCACAAACACACACAGAGGAAUGCAUAAAGAGGUCGUCUUUCCCCCUUCUCUCUGUAACAAAGCAAAGCACAAUAUAGAUCUGAUAAAAAAAGAGAGAAGAAGCACAACAUAGAUACCAAAACCACAUCAUUAUCAUCAUCAUCACCACCCUCUAAAUCUCUGCUACCAAACCUUCCCGUGAUUAUCGGAGAUAUAUGUCAGCAAUGGACGGAGGAGGAGGAGGAGCAGACGCACAGUAUGUGCGUGCCAAGACAUCAGUUUGGUGGGACAUAGAGAACUGCGCUGUACCGAGAGGCUGUGACCCUCAUGCCAUAGCACGAAACAUAAGCUCAGCUCUUGUCGAGAUGAAUUAUUGUGGUCCUGUCUCUAUUUCUGCUUAUGGUGACACUCAGGGUAUCAAUUCUGCUACUCAACAGGCUCUUUCUAGCACUGGGAUUGGUCUCAAUCAUGUCCCUGCAGGUAUGAUGAUUUUACUUGUCCUUUUGAAGUUUUUGCUUCAUGGGGUGUUUGGUUUUUGGUGUUCUUUUUAUUAGCCAAGAAAGAUCGGAUCCUGGUCACAAUUUAAUUUGGCUUUUCUUUGUGUUGUUUUGAUUGAUUUUGUGAUGGGGUUAUGUAACUGGUGUAAGAGACUGCAUUGACUGAAAUAGUAAAGGGUUUGUCAAGAUUUGCAGUGUUGUAGAGAAUUAUAAAGAAACAAAGAGGAAUUAGCAAUCUUUUGAAUCAUUGGUUGAUGAUUUCUUUUAUUAGAUCUCAACUUUUGUUAUUGAAAGAGGAGAAGUGCAGGUGUUGCAACAUCAGCAGGAUAUGUUCUGGUCUGUAAUGGUUUUUUAAUAUUGAAGUCUUUUUGUGCUGUUUGUGAGUUGAUGUUCAUGAUUUUAUAUGUUCAUGAUGAACAGGUGUUAAAGAUGCAAGUGACAAGAAGAUUCUUGUUGACAUGUUGUUCUGGGCGGUGGACAAUCCUGCGCCAGCAAAUUACUUGUUGAUUUCUGGUGAUCGAGACUUCUCUAACGCUCUUCACCAGUUGAGAAUGAGGAGAUACAAUAUUCUCCUAGCACAGCCCCCGGCAGCAUCCGAAGCCCUUGUUGCGGCUGCGAAGAGUGUAUGGCUUUGGAAGAGUCUCUUGGCUGGAGGACGGCCACUCCCUGAAUUUGAAUUACAACAACUCCGUAGCAAAAACUACACGUCCAGUCCAGGCACGACACAGAUUCCAGUGUCUGGUGCCGCUCAAAUGAAGGAACCAGUAGAUUCCUAUUCUGAGAAACCGUAUGUGGCAAAUCAGAAGUCUCCUUCCACAUCAAGGGGUGCUAGAGGGAGAGCGAACGCAACCCAAAGAAACCCGAGCCAAACAAAUGCAUCAAAAACAACAAACACGCCAUUUUACCCCAGUGCUCCUCCUCCAAUGCCUGCCAGACCCAACGGAACUAGCUAUACCUCUGCACCAUCUACAAGAGUGCCUGCUUUUGAUAGUUUGAACAAUUUUGGACACCCUGCCAGCUCUAGCCCUCAACCACGAAAUCCAGAGCUAAAGCAUGAUCCCAAGAAUAAACCAGACAGUAAAAAAAAUAAGAAAUCAAAAGGUGAAAACUCAAAAGGGUCUGGUGAAGGAAAAGGACCAGAGCUAAGUCAAAACAAGAAGAAUCCAGAGGGUGAAAACUCAAAAGGGUCUGGUGAAGGAAAAGGACCAGAGCUAAAACAUGAUCUCCAAAAGGAACCAGGCAGUUCAAACAAGAAGAAACCAGCGGGUGAAAACUCAAAAGGGUCUGGUGAAGGAAAAGGACCAGAGCUCAAACAUGAUCUCCAGAAGGAACCAGGCAGUUCAAACAAGAAGAAACCAGCGGGUGAAAACUCAAAAGGGUCUUGUGAAGGAAAAGGACCACAUCUAGAACAUGAUCCCCAAAAGAAACCAGAGGGUGAAAACAAGAAGAAACAAGACGGCAAAAACUCAAAAGGGUUUUGUGCAGGAAAAGAACAAGAGCCAAGUCUAAACAAGAAGAAUCCAGAGGGUGAAAACUCAAAAGGAUCUGGUGAAGGAAAAGGACCAGAGCUAAAACAUGAUCCCCAGAAGAAACCACGCAGUCGAAACAGGAAGAAACCACGUAGUGGAAACAGGAAGAAACCAGAGGGUGAAGACUCAAAAGGGUCUGGUGAAGGAAAAGGACCAGAACUAAAAAAUGAUCUCCAGAAGGAACUAGGCAGUUCAAACAAGAAGAAACCAAGGGGUGAAAACUCAAAAGGGUCUUGUGAAGGAGAAGGACCACAGCUAGAACAUGAUCCCGAUAAGAAACCAGAGGGUGAAAACAAGAAGAAACAAGAGGGUGAAAACUCAAGAGGGUCCUGUGAAGGAAAAGGACCAGAGCUAAAGCAUGAUCCCGAUAAGAAACCAGAGGGCGAAAACAAGAAGAAACAAGAGGGUGAAAACUCAAGAGGGUCCUGUGAAGGAAAAGAACCAGAGCUAAAACAUGGUCCCGAUAAGAAACCAGAGGGCGAAAACAAGAAGGUGGCUAGAGCAAGAAAAGGAGUUUCAUUGAAAAAAUCAGUAGUUCUAAGAUCAAAAAGACGUGUUAGCCUAACAAAACUGGACAAGGGAAAGAAAAACCCACCUGCUGCGAUAGUAGAGGGGGAAUGACAGCAAGGUGAAGCUCUUGAUGCUUGCAAUAUAUAGUAUGGCAGGAGCACCAUCCAUGACACAUGGCUAUUUGUGUGCACUGGAUACCCGUGUGCGAGUUCGGUACCAGUUUCUUUUGUCUAGGGGUUUGGGGAGACAGAAGAAGGUAUGGGUAUUUACGGUUUUAUACUCGUGUUUUAAUGGCCAAAAAGAAGGAGCCGGAUUUUCUUUUUUAUUUUAUUUCAUGUUUGGCAUGUAAAAAAUCCAAGUUUCGGUAUCUAUCAUUUUUAUUUUCUAGCAGUUCCUGGCUACUGUGGCGGCCGCUGCUGCGAGUUCAUUCUGAAAUUUCUAUCCCUUUUUUUUCCAUAAUUAAAUCAAAUAUUAAUGAGAGUUUGAGGUUUAAAUUUUAGAGAAGAAAGUGUGUUUUUUAAACAGAAUUCUGUUUUUUUUUUUUUUGCGUACAUUCUCUUAAGAAACAUGUAUUUUUUUUUUUUUAUCAAGAGUGGUUUUUUCUUCACAAAAGAAUGCAAGAUGAUUAAAAUAAAUAUUUUUGAAAGUCUUAAAUUAUUAAAACGAAUCUAAUGAUUUAAAUCCAGUAGAGAAAGUAUUUGUUGAGGUGAAACUCCUGUUUUUUAUUCAUUUUAAAUCCCAAGAACCUGAGGUCGAACAGCAGUUUUUGUGUUUGCUGCAGGUAUUUCAGUUCCAAGCAAGUUUGCCUCCGCCAUCAAGAGUUCGACCACCACCGGACAAAUCAAAGCUAUCCGUUCACACUCAAUUUAAAAGGAACUUUUUAUAAUUCUUAAGAAAGAACAAGUGUAGUCAUUUUCAAUCCACACACAAUUCUAUUAAAUUCCCGUUAUCUUCCUGAUGGGCCAUGGUUUCGUCAUCUAAAAAGACAUUGCACGAAGUCAGAACUUAAAAUAGAGUUAUGUUUUUUUUAUGGCGCCCAAUCUUAGGUUGAGCUAUGAUAUACUCGCGCCCAGUCCCCUAUUGAGUAAGGGAUGCAACAGCGUCUACCUCCAUAUUGGGCUAUGGCCCAUUCAUCCCUAAUUAUUCUUGAAUACAAUCACAAGCUGAACCCAACUUAUGUUGGAAAAGUGUAUGAGUUAAAUCCAACACCCCCUUGGGUGGAGUGUAUAGCUGAAAGAUAACUUCACACUAAGCUUCUCACACUCUAGGUUUGGGUUAGUAAUUAUGAUACCUAUUACAUCCUAUUAAAUAUGAACAAACAACUCAUGCUUAUAUUAAUUAGAUGUAAUUGUACAAGAAGUAGAAUAAUAUUAUUUUACUAUUAUGAGAUUAUAUCUCUAUCCCUCCUACGUUGUAUGAAGUAGGUCAAGCCAAGUUAUAUAAAAGAGGAAUAAAAUAUAAAGAAAAGGGGUUCAGAACUUUAUACUCUGAGAAAAAAAACAAAUUUUAUAAUUUUAUAUCUUCUCCCCCCUCCUCUUUUUUAUCUUCAUAAAAAAAUUAUUAAUACUUUUAUUAAUAUCUUUUACUAAAUAAAAAUAUUUGGUGUUGAUUUGAUAUUUAAAGGGUCCCCAACCAACAGCUCAGGAAACCUUGUGUAGAUAUUUAUUUAUAAGAAAUUAACAUCCCUAAAGAAAUCUAUUAAAGAAGACAGUGAAUAAUAUGAAAAAAUAUCUAAAAAUAAUUCAUGCUAGAAUAUUUCCAGUGAUUUUUGGAAACCCAACACUUCCAAUACACAAUUAUUCUCCCUUUCCUUUUCCUAUCCUUUGCCUGAAGUUGUUUGUAGUGGAAUAGAGAGCUCUCAUUCAACCUUGUUGCUUCCUUUUUUUUUUUUUAAGAUUAACGUGUCCAGGCUAGCUUGCGCGUACCUCAACUAAUCCCACGGGCCUUGAAGUUAACGAUCAUGUAAGCCUCCAGUGGCCAUUAUAUGAGCAACCUAGGGUUCGAAUCUGAGACCAUAAAAAAAAUAAAUCUUUUGAUCCCAAGCUUUUAUCAAUGGGUCACCAGUAGCUUGUUGCUUCCUUUAAUUAUAUGGAGUACUGGUUAAACACUAGAUCGACACCCUUUUUAGCCACAAAGCUUUUCACUUUUCCUGUAGCAAAUUCUUAAUUGUGAAGCAAUAGGUUUUUGGAGGGGGAUUUCCACUCCAAGGUUUAAGCAAGUAUCGCUGUUGUUAUUUAUUUAAAAAUAUAUUUUUUAAAAAAAUUAUUUUUAAUAUUAAUACUUUAAAAUAAUUUAAAAAAAAAUAUUAUUUUUUCUUAGGUUUGGAGAACUGAGUUUGGGGUAACCUUGGUGGUGGUUUUUUUUUUAAAAUAAAGAAAUUCAAUUCAGUUGCUAACUUGUAAUAAUCAUCGAGGAAUUCAGUCUUAUGGUCUUGUCAGAUAGCACAAAAGUCAAAGACUCCUCCUUCCUUCUCCACUAAGACUUCAUGGUUUUGUACUGUUUACUUUAGGCAACCGAUUUCUUUACCCUCUCAUUCGCCAGUAUUCAGAGUCUUUUCUCAGUGAGAUAGAAAAUAUAAAGACAAUUUAUUAAAAACAUACUUUAGUUUUAGCACAGAAACAGCUCGUCUCCUAAGAUUUUUAUUUGCUAUACUUUUCACCUUAUUAUUUAUACAAUUAAUUUCAACUUACAUGCUAUAGUUUAAUUCCGUUAGUAAAUAAUAAUAAUAAUAAUGAUGAUAAUAAUAAAUAACAUAUACUAAGAUAAAUAUAUAAAAUAGUUUAUAAAUAUUUAAAAGUUUUAUCCAGAUAAUAAAUACAAUACAAGUAUUAAAAAAUACAAUCGCGAAUAUUUAUUAUGCGUUAUGACUUAAAACGCACCAAACACAACCUUGGCUUAAAGUCACCAAACCACAAACACACAUAGAGAGUGUUUGGGAGAGUGGUAGCAGUUGCUUUUCAAAUAGCUUUUCGUGCCAAAAAACAUAUUAAUAAUAUUUUUUUAUUUUUUAAAAAUCAUUUUUGAUAUCAGUACAUCAAAACGAUUUAAAAAAUAUAAACCGUAUUUAAUUUUAAUAAAAAAAAAUUAAAAAUUUACAAAAAAACAAGUUUCACUGCAGUGCCAAACGGCACCUAUAGAGGAAUGCAUAAAGACGUCGUCUUUGCCCCCCUCACUCUAACCAAGCAAAGCAAAGCAAAGCACAGCAUAGAUAUCAAAACCACAUCAUCACCCUCUAAAUCUCCGCUACCAAAACCACCGUGAUUAUCGGAGAUAUAUGUCAGCAAUGGACGGAGGAGGAGGACCGUAUGUGAAUGCGAAGACAUCAGUUUGGUGGGACAUAGAGAACUGCGCUGUACCGAGAGGCUGUGACCCUCAUGCCAUAGCACGAAACAUAAGCUCAGCUCUUGUCGAGAUGAAUUAUUUUGGUCCUGUCUCUAUUUCCGCUUAUGGUGACACUCAUGGUAUCAACUCAACAGCUCAACAGGCUCUUUCUAGCACUGGGAUUGCUCUCAAUCAUGUCCCUGAAGGUAUGUUGGUAUUACUUGUACCUUUUGAAGUCUUUGCUUCAUGGGGUGCUUGGUUUUUGGUGUAUUAGUCCAGAAAGAUUGGAUCGUGGUCACUAUUUAAUUUGGCUUUUCUUGGUGUUGUUAUGAUUGAUUUUGUGACGGGGUUAUGCAACUUGUGUAACAGACUGAAUUGACUGAAAUAGAAAGAUUGUUUUUGAAUAUUGAAGUCUUUUUGUGCAGUUUGUGUUAUCCUGUAGGAGAGUUGAUGUUCAUGAUUUUAUAUGUUCAUGAUGAACAGGUGUCAAGGAUGCAAGUGACAAGAAGAUUCUUGUUGAUAUGUUGUUCUGGGCGGUGGACAAUCCUGCGCCAGCAAAUUACUUGUUGAUUUCCGGUGAUCGAGACUUCUCCAGCGCUCUUCACCAGCUGAGAAUGAGGAGAUACAAUAUUCUCCUAGCACAGCCCAAGACAGCAUCCGUACCCCUUGUUGCGGCCGCAAAGAAUGUGUGGCUUUGGACGAGUCUCUUGGCUGGAGGAAGGCCACUCCCUGAAGGUGAAUCACAACAACUCCGUAGCAAAAACUACACGUCCAGUCCAGGCACGGCACAGAUUCCAGGGUCUGGUGCAGCUCAAAUGAAGGAACCAGUAGAUUCCUAUUCUGGGAAACCGUAUGUGGCAAAUCAGAAGUCUCCUUCCACAUCAAGGGGUGCUAGAGGGAGAGCGAAUACAAUCCAAAGAAACCCGAGUCAAUGGAAUGACACCACCCACAUCAAUGGCAACUACCAAAAUCAUUAUACACAGCAAUUAUGGCCAAACAAUCCUGGUAUGCGACCUGAAUUUGCAGCAGGUGGUUUCUAUCCUCCCCAUCCUAAUCUUCAUCCUCCAAUGCCUGCGAGACCCAAUGGAACUAGCUUUACCUCUGCACCAUAUACAAGUGCACCUGAUAUUGGUAUUCUGAACAUUCCCGGACACCCCGUCAACUUUAACCCUCAACGACGAAAUCCAGAGCUAAAACAUGAUCCCAAGAAGAAACUUCCCAGAUCUGUAAGCUUAAGUAACUCGCAAAAUGGAAACAUGGCACAUAACUCUCCAUCAGUUUACCGGGACGAGAAGCCAAACCAUAGGUACCCUGGUGGUCCAGAAUUUCCGCCAUCAUCCUCACAUGCAAUGGGAGCCAGUGUUGCUCCAGGGAGUGAUAAAAAAUACAUAUUUUAUUCUUAUUGAAUAUUUAUAUACAGGUUUUUUUAUAUUAGAUUCAUGUAUAACUAUUUUUAAAUAAUUGCUAAUAUUAUUAUAAGAAGUUAUAAUCUUAUUUACACAGUAUGACAUAAUUAGGUGAUUUCUUAAAGUGUUAUCAUAGUUAUUUAUUUUAAAAUAUAAAAAAUAAAAAAACUUAAUAAAAAAAAGUGAAAAGCAAAAAGAAUCAAGAUCUAAUAUACCUAGUUUUUUUUUUAAUAAAAGAUCAUAAAUAUCCUAAAAAAACUUUAAUUUUUCAUAAACAUCGCACUGUAUAGUAAAGAAACCUAGCUCUUUUAUUUUAUUUUUAAUUUAAUAAAAUAAAGUGUCGUGGCCUUGGCUUUGCACGUUGAGCAGCCUCCGAAGGACUAAAACAAAGUCAAGUUCCGUCCCUUUUUGGUUUUUUGUUUUCUUUUUUAUUACCCUUUUGCUUCCUGAGAAGGAGACGCGAGUUUUCCUUCGCUGUUAAGACUAACAAUUUCUUUCCCAAACCUUACCCCUCCAUUUGCCAACGUUCAGAUUCUUUCCCCUUCUUAGUUAAUAAGCUACAGGGAUAAUUAAGUAAAUUGCAAUGUAGGAUAUUAGCCAAUCAAAAUGGAGCAAGUAAGAAUGGAAAGCAGGACCUUCUACCCUUCUUAUUCCCCGUCAACGCCAAACAUUGCCCAAGACUUCUUCUUCUCUUGUGUCGACAUGGCAUAUGAUGAUUGGUAACUCAUACAUGUCAAAACAUGAUUCAUUGGUUUCUUAGACAGAAAGUCAUCAUGGGUCAUCCAUCCACGCAUGAUAAUCUAACAAAUACCACGAGCACAACACUUGGGAGUUGAGUUGUUUUUAUUUUUAUUUAUUUUUUAAAUUAUUAAAUUAAUAUUUUUGAAUAUAUUUUUAAAUAAAAAAAACCUCCACUUCACAAUGUUAAAUAGACUUAAAACCUUUAACCUAAUGUAUAUCUUGAUAGGUUCAUAUUAAUGUAAUGUAUUUAAUGAAAUAAUUUCUUUUAAAUACGGACUUUUUUUAGAAAUAUAGAAGAUGGAAUAAACUUUUUAUUUAUUUAUGUACAUUGUCUUAAGAAACAUGCAUUUGUUUUUUAAUCAAGAGUGUUGUUUUUUCUUGACAAAAGAAUGCAAGAUGAUUAAAAUAAAUAUUUGUGAAAAUCUUAAAUUAUUAAAACGAAUAUCUAAUGAUUUAAAUCUAGGAGAGAAAGUAUUUCUUGAGGUGAAACUCCUAUUUUUUACUCAUUUUAAAUCCCAAGAACUUGAGGUCGACGAGCAGUUUUUGUGCUUACUGCAGGUAUUUCAGCUCCAAGCAAGUUUGCCUUCACCAUCAAGAGUUCCACCACCGGACAAAUCAAAGCCAUAUGUUCACACUCAAUUGAAAAUGAACUUUUUAUAAUUCUUAAGAAAAAACAAGUGGAGUCAUUUUCAAUCCACGCACAAUUCUACCUAAUUUCCGUUAUCUUCCUGAUGGAUCAUGGUUUCUAUACACCAACCCCAUUUAAAAAGACAUUGCAUGAACUCACAGCUCAAAAUAGAACUAUGUUUUUUAUGGUAUCCAACCUUACAUUCUUAGAUUGGGUCAUGACACGCCCGUGCCUAGCCUCCUCUUGAGUUAGGGAUGCAACAACGUUCAUCUUUACAUUGGGAUGUGGCGCGUUUGUCCCUAAUCAUUCUUGAAUAUAAUCACAAGCUGAACCCAACUCCUACUGGAAAAGUGUGUGAGUUGAACCCAACGCCCCUCAGGUAGACUGCAUGUAGCUGAAAAAUAACUCCACACCGAGCCUCUCAUAUUUUGGGUUUGGGUUAGUAAUUACAAUACUUAUCACAUUCUAUUAAAUAUAAACAAGCAACCUAUACUUAUAGUAAUUAGAUGUGAUAGUACAAGAAAUAGAAUAAUAUUAUUUUAUUGUUAUGAGAUUAUAUUUUUAUCUUUCCUACGUUGUAUGAAGCAGGUCAAGUCAAGUAAUAUAAAAGAUGAGUGAAAUAUAUAGAAAGGGGUUCAGAACCUUAUACUCGGAGACAAAAACACAUUCUCUUCGUCUUCCUCCUUAAUUCUACAUUCUCUCCCCCUUCCUUUUUUUUAUCUUCAUAAAAACUUAUUAAUACUUUUAUUAAUAUUUUUUGCUAUAUAAAAAUACAUGGUACUGACUUGAUCUUCAGAGAAUCCCUCGCCAACACCUCAAGAAACUUUGUGUAGAUAUUUAUUGAAGAAGAGAUUAACAUCCUUGAGAAGAUCUAUUAAAAAGAAAACCAAUAUAAUCUUGAAGUGAAGAUUGUAAAACACACUGUGAAUAAUAUAAAAGGAUUUUUAAAAAUAAUUUAUUCCAUAAUAUUUCAGUAAUUUUUGUAACCUCAUCACUUCCUAUCCAUAAUUAUUAUCCCUUUCUAUUUCCUAUCCUUUGCCUGAAGCUGUUUGUAGUGGAAUAGAGAGCAAGGGUAGAUGAGGGAUUCCAAGCUCUCAUUCGCCCUUGUUGCUUCCUUUAAUUAUAUGGAGUGCUGGCUAAACACUCGACCGACCCCCUUUUAGCCACAGAGCUUUUCACUUUUCCUGUAGCAAAAUCUUAAUUGUGAAGAAAUAGGUUUCUGGAGGGAUUUCAACUCCGUGGUUUAAGCGAGUAUCGCUGUUGUUAUUUUUUUAAAAAAAUUAUUUAGAGAUAUAUUAAAAUAAUAUAUUUUUUUUAAAGUUAUUUUAAAUAUUAAUACUUUAAAAUGAUGGAAAAAAAAUUAAGUAAAAAAAAAUAUUUUUUUCAAAUAUAAUUUAUAUUGUAAUAAUCAUAAAGGAAUUUAUACAGAUAAUUCUCCACCUCUUUGACAACGAAAGUGAACUUGGAAAAUCAAUCCAGCGAUUUAGGAAAAUAGUAUGCAUGCAUGACAAGGUUGGUUGAUGGACGAGACAUCUUUGACCGACAGGAAGAUGUAAGAUAGCAGUCUUAUGGUCUUGUCAGAUAGCACAAAAGUCCAAGACUCCUCCUUCCUUCUCCACUAAGACUUCAUUGUUUUGUGCUGUUUACUUUAGCCAACCGAUUUCUUUACCCUCUCAUUUGCCAACAAUUCAGAUUCUUUUCUCAGGGGAAUGCAUAAAGACGUCGUCUUUGCUCCCCCCUCUCUCUAACCAAGCAAAGCAAAGCAAAGCACAGCAUAGAUAUCAAAACCACAUCAUCACCCUCUAAAUCUCCGCCACCAAAACCACCGUGAUUAUCGGAGAUCUUCGUCAGAAAUGGACGGAGGAGGAGGAGAAGACGCACAUUAUGUGCGUGCCAAGACAUCAGUUUGGUGGGACAUAGAGAACUGCGCUGUACCG